rnacentral:rRNA from 1 species
AGCAGCCGCGGUAAUUCCAGCUCCAAUAGCGUAUAUUAAAGUUGUUGCAGUUAAAAAGCUCGUAGUUGAAUUUCGGAAUCGACGGAUUGGUCGCGCCUUCGGUGUGUACUGGUCUUGCCGGUUUCUCCCUUCUGACGAACCACGAUGUCAUUAAUUUGGUGUCGUGGGAAAUCAGGACUGUUACUUUGAAAAAAUUAGAGUGUUUAAAGCAGGCAUUAGCUUGAAUACAUUAGCAUGGAAUAAUGAAAUAGGACGUUUGAUCUUAUUUUGUUGGUUCCUAGGAUCGACGUAAUGAUUAAUAGGGAUAGUUGGGGGCAUUAGUAUUCAAUUGUCAGAGGUGAAAUUCUUGGAUUUAUUGAAGACUAACUACUGCGAAAGCAUUUGCCAAGGAUGUUUUCAUUAAUCAAGAACGAAAGUUGGGGGAUCGAAGACGAUCAGAUACCGUCGUAGUCUUAACCAUAAACUAUGCCGACUAGGGAUCGGGAUGAUGUUAAUUUUUAAUUGAUCAUUCGGCGCCUUA